rnacentral:rRNA from 1 species
CAGCGCCGCAAGUGGGGAUCUUUUUUAUUGGGCCUAAAGCGUCCGUAGCUGGUUUAGUAAAUCUCUUGUGAAAUCGUUAAGCUCAACUUAACGGCAUGCAGGAGACACUGCUUUACUUGAGACCGGGAGAGGUAAGGAGUAUUUCUGGGGAACCGGUAAAAUGGGAUAAUCCUAGAAAGACUACCUGUGGCGAAGGCGCCUUACCAGAACGGAUCUGACAGUGAGGGACGAAGGCUAGGGGAGCAAACCGGAUUAGAUACCCGAGUAGUCC